rnacentral:rRNA from 1 species
GCGAGUGAAGCGGCAACAGCUCAAAUUUGAAAUCUGGCCCCCUCGGGGCCCGAGUUGUAAUUUGUAGAGGAUGUUUCGGGUGUGGCUCCGGUCUAAGUUCCUUGGAACAGGACGUCAUAGAGGGUGAGAAUCCCGUAUGUGACUGGCAGCCUACGCCCAUGUGAAACUCCUUCGACGAGUCGAGUUGUUUGGGAAUGCAGCUCAAAAUGGGUGGUAAAUUUCAUCUAAAGCUAAAUAUUGGCCAGAGACCGAUAGCGCACAAGUAGAGUGAUCGAAAGAUGAAAAGCACUUUGGAAAGAGAGUUAAACAGUACGUGAAAUUGUUGAAAGGGAAGCGCUUGCAACCAGACUUGCGUGCGGCCGAUCAUCCGGUGUUCUCACCGGUGCACUCGGUCGUGCUCAGGCCAGCAUCGGUUUCGGCGGCUGGAUAAAGGCCAUGGGAAUGUAGCUCCUCUCGGGGAGUGUUAUAGCCCGUGGUGCAAUGCAGCCCGCUGGGACCGAGGACCGCGCUUCGGCUAGGAUGCUGGCGUAAUGGUUGUAAGCGACCCGUCUUGAAACACGGACCAAGGAGUCUAACAUCUAUGCGAGUGUUUGGGUGUCAAACCCAUACGCGGAAUGAAAGUGAACGGAGGUGAGAACCCUUAAGGGUGCAUCAUCGACCGAUCCUGAUGUCUUCGGAUGGAUUUGAGUAAGAGCAUAGCUGUUGGGACCCGAAAGAUGGUGAACUAUGCCUGAAUAGGGUGAAGCCAGAGGAAACUCUGGUGGAGGCUCGCAGCGGUUCUGACGUGCAAAUCGAUCGUCAAA